rnacentral:lncRNA from 1 species
AUGCAAUUGUUGAAAUUAGGAUUUGGGAAGAAGCCCCAUAGCACAUACCGUUAUGUAGUGGAGAGCUGUGGAAACCCUGAGGAACUUGCUGCUUUUUUGUCUCCCAAAUGCUGCUUAGAUGGUGUUGAAAUGCGCACAGCUCCUCCAUAAACUUGGCGAUGGCACCAGAAGUACAGAGAGAAUGAAGCACUGUACUGACUGAGCAGUCUUCCCAUCGCAGACCCCACUGAGGUUUGUUAGGAAACGUCUGCAGAUCUUUUGGCCGUUCCACCUCCUCUGAUUGGUGCAUGCGCAAAACGUCAGGUCAGAGAGUGCAUGUUUAUGUGCAGUGGAUGAAUGAUUGACCCCAACUGACAGCGAAGCCCUUUUACCCCUUGUCUUGCUGAUGGCCAAAGCUGGGCUGUCAGGGAGCUGCAGGCAGCGUGUGCUGGGAUGAGAGCAGCGUGUGGCCCCUGCAGCCCUGCCUCUGUGCACACCAGCACCGACGGAUGGAAGGAGAAGCUCCUGCCUUCAGUAAGCUACUCAGAGGGCUGUGCCGUGUCCUGCCGCACCCCUCCCUGUGCCCCCGCCCCUUACUUUCACAGUCACGUUCUGCUGAAGGAAGUAAAGCUUCCUUGUAAUGUGGGGAGAAUAAGUAAUGUGAAACCUACCCUGAGCCCUGUUCUCUGCACACGCCUGUCCCUCCCCUCAGCUUCGUGUGGGCAGCCUGCAGCGUCCCCAGCGAGUGUCAGCUCACCGUGCAGCCAGUGCCAGCUGCUGCUACCGCAUGCACCGCACUCCGAUGUGUACGUAGUUCUGGUGUGAGAGGGCAGUCCUGGUACCUCAGAGCUCCUGGCUUUCUUAAUCACUAUUGUUUUGUUCCGAUGUGCUGUACAAUGGUAUGUUCAGGUUAAUGAGCUUCCCGGCUCCCUUCGGAACUGGGGAAGCAUCUUUGCAAAAUCAAAGUGCUCCAAACCUCAUGUACUUGUAGAUUAAAGAGAUGCAAACCCUGCUUUGUGCUAGCACAGUAGUCAGUGUAUGUUCAUGGCUAUUCUUGAAUUACAUACUUGAAAGUUCACCAAUACUGAGAUGGAUCUGCGAAUGCUACCCUGCAGCUCGUCAGCAAGUUCUGCUCCUUCAGCCAAGGUGUGAAGACAGCAGUGUGGCUGUCAGCAAAGUCCCAGGCGCGGCUCUGAAGCAGCCGCUGUUCAGCUCUGCUUUCCCCACUGCUCGGCUCCCAGCUCAGAGUUGCAGCGCGCUGCUCCACGUUGCCCAUGCAGAUCUCAGCCGUGGUGCUGCUGUUCCCUUUCUCUUUCCAGGCAUCGUCUUUGCAUCCUCUGCUGCCGUCUGCACUGCUGCUGCUCACCGCCCAUCAGCAGAGGUAACACUGAACGCUAGGAUGCUUCCUUUUGUCUUUAACCAGCACCCCUUAAUCUCUACUGUCGCGCAGCUGGCAGUGCUGCAGUUGGAAGCUGCCCGCCUCCAUGUGCA